rnacentral:rRNA from 1 species
UGCAUGGCGGCAGCUACCAUGCAAGUCGAGCGGUAACAGAUCCAACUUGCUGGAUGCGUGACGAGCGGCGGACGGGUGAGUAAUGCAUAGGAAUCUGCCCGAUAGUGGGGGAUAACCUGGGGAAACCCAGGCUAAUACCGCAUACGUCCUACGGGAGAAAGGGGGCUACGGCUCCCGCUAUCGGAUGAGCCUAUGUCGGAUUAGCUAUUUGGUGAGGUAACGGCUCACCAAGGCCACGAUCCGUAUCUGGUCUGAGAGGAUGAUCAUCCACAUCGGGACUGAGACACGGCCCGAACUCCUACUGGAGGCAGCAGUGGGGAAUAUUGGACUAUGGGGGGAACCCUGAUCCAGCCAUGCCCCGGGUGUGAGGAAGGCCCUCGGUUUGUAAAGCACUUUCACUUACGAAGAACGCCUAGGGGUUAGUACCCGCUACGAAAAACAUCACUCUCACAAGAAGAACCGGCUAACUCCGUGUCCGCGCCCGCGGUAAUACGGAGGGUGCAGGCGUUAAUCGGAAUUACUGGGCGUGAAGCGCGCGUACGUGGCUUGAUAUUGCGGUUGUGAAAGCCCCGGGCUCAACCUGGGAACGGCAUCCGGAACUGUCACGCUAGAGUGCAAGAGAGGAAGGUAAAAUUCCCGGUGUAGCGGUGAAAUGCGUAUACAUCGAGAGGAAUACCAAUGGCGAAGGCGGCCUUCUGCACUGACACUGACACUGACGUGCAAAAGCGUGAGUAUCAAACACGAUUAGAACCUUGGCCCUUUCAUAGU